AAGGAAACCCGGUCUCCACGGUGACCAGAAACAAAAAAAGGGAGGCAGCCCGUCUCAAGAGCAGCUGGCUUUGAGAGUGAGCGAGUGACAGAGCAAGAGAGAGCGAGAGAGAGAACGAGAGAGAGAGAGAGAGCAAAGAAAAGAGAGACACGGCAGAAAAAAAAAUCAGAAGAAAAGUACAAGAAAAGAGUGAAGAGGUACAGCAAGGCUGGGAUACCAAGUAAUUUGCUGUUAAAAUGACAAAAGGACAUAAAAGGACCAGUAAAGAUAUGAGAGAUUUACUCAGAAGAAAGUAACUGAGCAAGAAAAAAGGAAAACAAGCAAAUCAGAAAAACAACACGGCAAGAAGGAACGGCAGAAAAGUAAACUCAUGGAGAAAAGUUUGUUUUUCUCCAUGAAAAGUGUUCAAAAAUCGCCCAAGCUAAACUGCAUUUUUUCGUGUUUGGUUUACUGUUCUUGGGUGAUUGAAACCUCCGGCAACUGAAAAACGACUGAGAGACAAGUCAGGGAAGGUGCCCUAAAGUGAAGAGUAACUACCUUCCCAUUCCUGGAGUAUUCGUUUCAGCUGACCUUCCAGAACGCCUGCACCCAUCCUUGAGAAACAGCAUCCAUAAGGCAACAUGGAAGCCAAGCAGGAGGUGCUGGACCUGCUGCAGAAGGUCUGGGUGAAGCUGCAGGACCUGCCCCAUGCUAGUGCUGCAGAGCUAGGACUUUUUUUCGUCCUAGUUCUCUUCAUUGCCACCUUCCUGCUCAUGAUCUUGCUGUCCUGUGCCCACUGCUGCUGCUGCGGCAAACCCAAGUAUCAGGCCUCGAGGGUGCAGCCCAUACACGCCGUAUGAGACCGGGGACCGCCAGGACCGCCGGCAGCUGGUCAGAGCUCCGUGGGCCCUGCCGUGGUGAUGCGGACCUCGCUCUGCGGCUAUGGGGCUCAUUUCAAGGUGUCCCAAAGACCCCCGAAAACAAGAGCUGCACCGAUCCAAUGUGCCCCCCCUAAAGGACGGAAGGCUGCAGGCUGAAAGACGAAGCAUGGGAAUAAAGCGGGAUUGAAAAUUUUAAGGGGCCAAAUGCAUGUAAAAAAAGGCUAUGUGCUUGCUCCUGUGCUUUUGCUCGUCGUCAACAGCUGGAUUUCUGUUUUCGCUCGCAGAGCAGCGCGGUUCUCCAAAAGACAUCAACAAAAAUAUAUUUAUGUUUUAGUCAGAGAAACUACAUGACGAUUCAUACUUCAAAGGAACCUUUUGAGUGGGGGUCAGCGUAUCUCCAUAGCUCUUUGAUUUUUCAGCAAUUUAUUUUCACCCGAUUGCCAAUGAAAAGGCCAAAAUCAAACAAUCAAAGAGCUGUGCGACGUCGAAAAUACUGUUUAUGAACUGUAUAAAACACAAGGGGUGUUAAAGGCCUUAACUAACCUUUGAAUAAAGCAACAGAUUGCAAUUGCUACACUUCAUCUUACCUAUGACUGUCCAGCAUUAAAAAAAGUGAACAAUACACGUCCUGGUUUAACCCAAACAUGCUGCGCACUCUAACAGUUAAGGUCAGGGUGCAGCCCCGGACUGCAGCUGCUGAGACUUGGCCUGCACACUGCACACUGCGAUGCAGUGCGGCCUUUUCAUCUGAGCAUUAUCCUCCCCUCUCCCUCCAAAGCAGUAUGAAAAUGCAUCUCUAUGCUGUUUGUUUAUAUGUUAUUGAUGUUGAGCUUUUGUUUAUAUAUUUGUUGCGUCUGUGUGAACUCCCUGUAAUUGUCUGGCUGAUGAAAGGGAAAGCAUAUCGACGUAGCUUUAUUUUGUCAGUUGGAAAUAAAGGUUUUGUAUGAUUUUUGCUUUUUGUUUACAUUUUUCAAUUACUCAUUUACAGAAUUAAAGCUUCCUUCAACAUUCA